GGCGGUCAGGAAAGUNUGGAGUAAAAGGCUAUGGCUCAACCAUAGUGUGCUCUGGAAACUNUCUGACUUGAGUGCAGAAGGGGAGAGUGGAAUUCCAUGUGUAGCGGUGAAAUGCGUAGAUAUAUGGAGGANCACCAGUGGCGAAAGCGGCUCUCUGGUCUGUCACUGACGCUGAGGCUCGAAAGCGUGGGUAGCGAACAGGAUUAGAUACCCUGGUAGUNCACGCCGUAAACGAUGAGUGCUAGGUGUUAGGCCCUUUCCGGGGCUUAGUGCCGGAGCUAACGCAAUAAGCACUCCGCCUGGGGAGUACGACCGCAAGGUUGAAACUCAAAGGAAUUGACGGGGGCCCGCACAAGCGGUGGAGCAUGUGGUUUAAUUCGAAGCAACGCGAAGAACCUUACCAGGUCUUGACAUCCCGAUGCUAUUCUUAGAGAUAGGAAGUUACUUCGGUACAUCGGAGACAGGUGGUGCAUGGUUGUCGUCAGCCCGUGUCGUGAGAUGUUGGGUUAAGUCCCGCAACGAGCGCAACCCUUAUUGUUAGUUGCCAUCAUUAAGUUGGGCACUCUAGCGAGACUGCCGGUAAUAAACCGGAGGAAGGUGGGGAUGACGUCAAAUCAUCAUGCCCCUUAUGACCUGGGCUACACACGUGCUACAAUGGUCGGUACAACGAGUUGCGAGCCGGUGACGGCAAGCUAAUCUCUGAAAGCCGAUCUCAGUUCGGAUUGGAGGCUGCAACUCGCCUCCAUGAAGUCGGAAUCGCUAGUAAUCGCGGAUCAGCACGCCGCGGUGAAUACGUUCCCGGGCCUUGUACACACCGCCCGUCACACCACGAGAGUUUGUAACACCCGAAGUCGGUGAGGUAACCUUUUAGGGGCCAGCC
rnacentral:rRNA from 1 species